UACGGGGGGAGCAAGCGUUGUUCGGAUUUACUGGGCGUAAAGGCGCGUAGGCGGUCAGCACAAGUCAGUUGUGAAAUCUCCGGGCUUAACUCGGAAAGGUCAACUGAUACUGUGCGACUAGAGUGCAGAAGGGGCAACUGGAAUUCUCGGUGUAGCGGUGAAAUGCGUAGAUAUCGAGAGGAACACCUGCGGCGAAGGCGGGUUGCUGGGCUGACACUGACGCUGAUGCGCGAAAGCCAGGGGAGGCGAACGGG
rnacentral:rRNA from 1 species